rnacentral:rRNA from 1 species
AGUCAUAUGCUUGUCUCAAAGAUUAAGCCAUGCAUGUGUCAGUACAAACCAAUUUUAGGUGAAACCGCGAAUGGCUCAUUAAAUCAGCUAUGUUUCAUUGGAUCUGUACCCCAUAUUUACUUGGACAACUGUGGUAAUCCUAGAGCUAAUACAUGCACACAUAGUCCCUGACCGUGAGGGAAGGGCGCUUUUAUUAGUUCAAAACCGGUCGGGCCUCGGUCUGUAAACCCACCUGUGAUGACUCUGAAUAACUUUUGGCUGAGCGCACGGUCUCCGUACUGGCGCCGCAUCUUUCAAGUGUCUGCCUUAUCAGCUUUCGAUUGUAGUUUAUGCGCCUACAAUGGCUAUAACGGGUAACGGGGAAUCAGGGUUCGAUUCCGGAGAGGGAGCCUGAGAAACGGCUACCACAUCUAAGGAAGGCAGCAGGCACGCAAAUUACCCACUCCCGGCACGGGGAGGUAGUGACGAAAAAUAACGAUGCGAGACUCAUCCGAGGCUUCGCAAUCGGAAUGAGUACACUUUAAAUCCUUUAACGAGGACCCAUUGGAGGGCAAGUCUGGUGCCAGCAGCCGCGGUAAUUCCAGCUCCAAUAGCGUAUAUUAAAGUUGUUGCGGUUAAAAAGCUCGUAGUUGGCUUCAAGUGAUGGACUGACGGAUCACCGCCCGGUGGUUAUUGUCACGCUCCGAAACCGCUCAUUAAUUUUGAGCCCUGCCGGCUUGCACGGGGUGCUCUUUACCGAGUGUCCCGAGUGGCCGGCAUGUUUACUUUGAAAAAAUUAGAGUGCUUAAAGCAGGCUACUUGUAUGGCCUGAAUGUCUAUGCAUGGAAUAAUGGAAUAGGACCUCGGUUCUAUUUUGUCGGUUUUCCUUAUCGGAACCCGAGGUAAUGAAAAAUAGAAACAGGUGGGGGCAUUCGUACUGCGACGCUAGAGGUGAAAUUCUUGGACCGUCGCAAGACGAACAACUGCGAAGGCAUUUGCCAAGGGUGUUUUCCUUAAUCAAGAACGAAAGUUAGAGGUUCGAAGGCGAUCAGAUACCGCCCUAGUUCUAACCAUAAACGAUGCUAACUAGCGAUCCGCCGGCGUUAUAUCCAUGACCCGGCGGGCAGCUUCCGGGAAACCAAAGUCUUUGAGUUCCGGGGGAAGUAUGGUUGCAAAGCUGAAACUUAAAGGAAUUGACGGAAGGGCACCACCAGGAGUGGAGCCUGCGGCUUAAUUUGACUCAACACGGGGAACCUCACCAGGCCCGGACACCGGAAGGAUUGACAGAUUGAGAGCUCUUUCUCGAUUCGGUGGGUGGUGGUGCAUGGCCGUUCUUAGUUGGU